AUUCUUGUGGACGCUAAUUACAAUUAUAAUUGAUUAAUUGUUGAUUACAUAAAUAUCAAAUCAAAUUAUUGUCGAACCUUUUUAUUGUACUGGUACUUGGACUCAUUCUGUUAUUCUACAUCAUGGAAGACAUUUGUACAAAGAAGAAAAAGUUCCUUGCGAUUCUUCUAAUUUAUAAAUAUUUUGUGGAAUCUAUAACUCAUGUAAAUAAACUUGUUUUUAGUAGCACAGAUUU